CAAGAGAGCCGGAACACAGGUGCUGCAUGGCUGUCGUCAGCUCGUGUCGUGAGAUGUUGGGUUAAGUCCCGCAACGAGCGCAACCCUUGUCAUUAGUUGCUACAUUCAGUUGGGCACUCUAAUGAGACUGCCGGUGACAAGCCGGAGGAAGGUGGGGAUGACGUCAAGUCCUCAUGGCCCUUAUAGGUGGGGCUACACACGUCAUACAAUGGCUGGUACAAAGGGUUGCCAACCCGCGAGGGGGAGCCAAUCCCAUAAAGCCAGUCGUAGUCCGGAUCGUAGUCUGCAACUCGACUACGUGAAGUCGGAAUCGCUAGUAAUCGUGGAUCAGCAUGUCACGGUGAAUGCGUUCCCGGGUCUU
rnacentral:rRNA from 1 species